UUCUCAGGUGUGACUCCCAGGU
rnacentral:miRNA from 1 species